AAUCUGGCUUCAGGUCUGGGACAACCACUGGAAACGGUGGCUAAUACCGGAUGUGCCGAGAGGUGAAAGGUUAACUGCCUGAAGAUGAGCUCGCGUCUGAUUAGCUAGUUGGAAGUGUAAUGGACUCCCAAGGCGACGAUCAGUAGCUGGUCUGAGAGGACGAUCAGCCACACUGGGACUGGGACACGGCCCAGACUCCUACGGGAGGCAGCAGUGGGGAAUUUUCCGCAAUGGGCGAAAGCCUGACGGAGCAAGACCGCGUGAGGGAGGAAGGCUCUUGGGUUGUAAACCUCUUUUCUUGGGGAAGAAAAAAAUGACGGUACCCAAGGAAUCAGCAUCGGCUAACUCCGUGCCAGCAGCCGCGGUAAUACGGAGGAUGCAAGCGUUAUCCGGAAUUAUUGGGCGUAAAGCGUCCGCAGGUGGCACUUCAAGUCUGCUGUCAAAGGUCGGGGCUUAACCCCGGGAAGGCAGUGGAAACUGAAGCGCUAGAGUGUCGUAGGGGUAGAGGGAAUUCCCGGUGUAGCGGUGAAAUGCGUAGAGAUCGGGAAGAACAUCGGUGGCGAAAGCGCUCUACCGGACGACAACUGACACUCAGGGACGAAAGCUAGGGGAGCGAAUGGGAUUAGAUACCCCAGUAGUCCUAGCCGUAAACGAUGGAUACUAGGUGUGGCUUGUAUCGACCCGAGCCGUG
rnacentral:rRNA from 1 species